rnacentral:rRNA from 1 species
UACGAAGGGGGCUAGCGUUGUUCGGAUUUACUGGGCGUAAAGCGCACGUAGGCGGAUCGUUAAGUCGGGGGUGAAAUCCUGGAGCUCAACUCCAGAACUGCCUUCGAUACUGGCGAUCUCGAGUCCGGAAGAGGUGAGUGGAACUCCUAGUGUAGAGGUGGAAUUCGUAGAUAUUAGGAAGAACACCAGUGGCGAAGGCGGCUCACUGGUCCGGUACCGACGCUGAUGUGCGAAAGCGUGGGGAGCAAACAGG